rnacentral:rRNA from 1 species
GCAUAUCAAUAAGCGGAGGAAAAGAAACUAACAAGGAUUCCCUUAGUAACGGCGAGUGAAGAGGGAAGAGCUCAAAUUUUAAAUCUAUCAUGUUGUACAUGAUCGAGUUGUAAUUUGAAGAAGCGUUUUCUCGUACUUUAUGAUCAGUAUAAGUUCUCUUGGAACAGGACAUCAUAGAGGGUGAUAAUCCCGUCUGUUACUGAUUGUGAGGUUCGUUUAUGAUACGCUUUCAAAGAGUCGAGUUGUUUGGGAUUGCAGCUCCAAAUGGGUGGUAAACAUCACCUAAGGCUAAAUAUUUGCGAGAGACCGAUAGCGAACAAGUACCGUGAGGGAAAGAUGAAAAGAACUUUGAAAAGAGAGUUAAAAAGUAUGUGAAAUUGUUGAAAGGGAAACGAUUGAAGUCAGUCGUGCAGUCAUCAAUUCAGCGGUUAACAUUUUAUGUUUCCGUGUAAUUUGGCGUCUGUUGGUUAGCAUCAAUUUUGAUUGUUAUAAAAAGGUUAAGGGGAUGUGGCUCCUUCGGGAGUGUUAUAACCCUUAGCGUAAUGUGACGAUUAGGAUUGAGGUUUGCAACGAAUACCUUUUAGGGCAGUUUCACCUGGCCUCUCGUGGAAUUAUAGAUAGUUAAGAGCAUGCUCUUACUGUUUAUGAUUCUACGAAAAGGUUGGAGUGUAAAACUAAUUCGUUAAGGAUGUUGACGUA